rnacentral:rRNA from 1 species
GCUACCGCGCGCCUUUAAUACACCUCCCAUCACUGAAGUUAAGUAACGUUCAGCGUGGAUAGUAGUUGGAUGGGUGACCGCUUGGGAACAUCACUUAACGUUGGCU